GGCCGCACGUCAGCCUGAGACUGGGACACCUGGAGAUCUGAUGCCAGCUGGGGCACAGAACCUCCUCCCUCCAUCUUCCCCUCCAUAGGCUGGGUUUGGAGGAGUGGCCUCUAGAUGCAGCUGGGACCAGCAGGGGGUGGGGCGGGAUGUGCUUCUCUGGUCUAGGGGACUCUGGCCUCUGGCUGGGUGGCCCUGGAGGCCCCAGGUUCCCAGCAUACGUGGCUUGGCCAGGAACUCAGUGUGGCCGACUCAGCCCCUCUGAUACCCACACCCUGGGACGGCUGAGCAUUGCUGGCGGCCCCAGCGGCAGCGCACAGAGGCUCCUUUCACGAGCCAGGGCCAGGUUUCCAGGGCGGGUGGGUCUCCGGCUGGCCCGCUGCAAAUGAAACGUUUCCCCAGCUCCUUCCCUUUCGUCUCCAGAUGAGCGACGGCCACAGGAGGCCCUGGCCAGGCUGUGCUGCCUAGAUGGAGUGUCGUUCUGUCACCAGGCAGGAGUGCAGUGGCGCGAUCUCAGCUCGCUGCAACUUCCGCCUCCUGAGUUCAAGUGAUCUCCGGCCUCAGCCUCCCGAGUAGCUGGGACUACAG
rnacentral:lncRNA from 1 species